GCACUGGCAGUGCAGCCCUGUUCGCUGCAUCGGCAGACGCAUAGCAACGAUGUAACAGUGAAUUUCGUGCACUUGUAUCGUAAACGAAGAGUUGGCUAUACGAUGCCAACAAUUCGUUGCGAUUGUUUCAAACUAUAAAUUCCUUCGUAUUUUGCUGAUUUUUUUCUGUAAUGGCUACAAUAACGUGUCUGUGUACGAAGAGGAUUCUCAACUACAACGAUAUAAAGGACACCAUGAAUUUCAAGAUGGAACCACGUGGAAGCAAUCCAAUAGUUAACAAGUUUUGAAAGAAAAUACUAUUGCGGCAUGCAGCAUCCGCAGUCUCCACAAUUACCGAAGACAGAAGAUUAUCCGAGCGUACUUAUCGUCGAACUUUCAGCCAAAUAUCUUCAUUUACAGUCAAAUCCAACCCUAUUGAAUAGUAUUGUUUUAUCAACGACCGUAUACAUGUGCUUUGCUGCUUUAUAGUAAUUAAUACUACGUAUAAUAAAUACUAUUAAAAAAGAUCGCGCGCUGCAAGCGGAAUAAUCAAGUAAAAUUUCACACGCAUUUAAAAUAACACCGCUAUCGAUAAGUACUUUAUUUGUUCAAUUAAUAUUAAAACAUAAAAUAGCUAUGAUUUUGAGAAUUGAAUUGAAGUCAUAUAGGUGUGUUUUUAUACACGUUUUUGAUAAUGGUCAAAAUUUAAAAUAGUAAAAAGAUAAGGACCGAGUUAUAGAAUGUGCUUUGAAAAGGAAUUCGUUGGUCUAGUGUUUCAUUUUUUAAAUUAAAAAAUUAAAAAAUUAAAAAA